rnacentral:rRNA from 1 species
GAUGAACGCUGGCGGCGUGCCUAACACAUGCAAGUCGAACGAAGCAUUAGAACUUGAUUUUUUCGGAAUGAAGGUUCAUAUGACUGAGUGGCGGACGGGUGAGUAACGCGUGGGCAACCUGCCUUACACAGGGGGACAACAGCUGGAAACGGCUGCUAAUACCGCAUAAGCGCACGGUCUCGCAUGAGACAGUGUGAAAAACUCCGGUGGUGUAAGAUGGGCCCGCGUCUGAUUAGCUGGUUGGUGGGGUAACGGCCUACCAAGGCGACGAUCAGUAGCCGACCUGAGAGGGUGACCGGCCACAUUGGGACUGAGACACGGCCCAA